AGCAAGCUGAGAAACUAGCCUCCUGACUGAGGUUAAUUCAUCAAGAUAAUGUCAAGCUGGCCAGCUAGUGGCUUUCCUGGAUGACAUCUUCUACAUCGGAGUUUCUCAGCCUCAGCAAGAGUGACAUUUUGGUUUGAAUAAGCCUUUGUUGUGGCUCCUGUCCCAUGCAUUUUGAAUGUUUAGCAUCAUCCUGGCCUCUGUCGACUAGAUGCUUGCCACCACCACCACCACCAGCCCAGCUGUGACAACCAAAAGUGACUCCAGACAUGGCCAAAUGUUGCCAGGACGAAUGAAUGAAUCUGCUUCUUCUGAUCACUUCCUGGCUCUUAGGAGAGACAAAUCAGCUGACAUUGUCAUGGUGAGAUCAUAGACGUGAAGACAGAAAAUGUGCAUUUGAGCAUAAGCUCCAUCCUUCCUAGCUGUUGACUUAUGAAGUUUAUUUCUCU